rnacentral:rRNA from 1 species
CCUACGGGAGGCUGCAGUGGGGAAUAUUGGACAAUGGGGGGAACCCUGAUCCAGCCAUGCCGCGUGUGUGAAGAAGGCCCUCGGGUUGUAAAGCACUUUCAGUGAGGAAGAACGCCUGGUGGUUAAUACCCAUCAGGAAAGACAUCACUCACAGAAGAAGCACCGGCUAACUCCGUGCCAGCAGCCGCGGUAAUACGGAGGGUGCGAGCGUUAAUCGGAAUUACUGGGCGUAAAGCGCGCGUAGGUGGCUUGAUAAGCCGGUUGUGAAAGCCCCGGGCUCAACCUGGGAACGGCAUCCGGAACUGUCAAGCUUGAGUGCAGGAGAGGUAGGUGGAAUGCCCGGUGUAGCGGUGAAAUGCGUAGAGAUCGGGAGGAAUACCAGUGGCGAAGGCGGCCUUCUGGACUGACACUGACACUGAGGUGCGAAAGCGUGGGUAGCAAACAGGAUUAGAUACCCUAGUAGUC